rnacentral:rRNA from 1 species
GAUCAUGGCUCAGGAUGAACGCUGGCGGCGUGCCUAAUACAUGCAAGUCGAGCGAACCACUUCGGUGGUGAGCGGCGAACGGGUGAGUAACACGUAGGUGAUCUGCCCAUCAGACGGGGACAACGAUUGGAAACGAUCGCUAAUACCGGAUAGGACGAAAGUUUAAGGUGCUUCUGGCACCGCUGAUGGAUGAGCCUGCGGCGCAUUAGCUAGUUGGUAGGUAAGCCUACCGAAGG